UCAAUUUAUAGCUUAGUCAAAGCAUCUUGCUUACACCAAGAAAAUACCCGUUAAACUCGGAUUAAAUUGAG
rnacentral:tRNA from 1 species